GCUAGUAAUCGUGGAUCAGAAUGCCACGGUGAAUACGUUCCCGGGCCUUGUACACACCGCCCGUCACACCAUGGGAGUGGGUUGCAAAAGAAGUAGGUAGCUUAACCUUCGGGAGGGCGCUUACCACUUUGUGAUUCAUGACUGGGGUGAAGUCGUAACAAGGUAACCGUAGGGGAACCUGCGGUUGGAUCACCUCCUUA
rnacentral:rRNA from 3 species